rnacentral:rRNA from 1 species
CGUGUAGGCGGAGAUGCAAGUCAGGAGUGAAAUCCCGGGGCUCAACCCCGGAACUGCUUUUGAAACUGUAUCCCUUGAGUGUCGGAGAGGCAAGCGGAAUUCCUAGUGUAGCGGUGAAAUGCGUAGAUAUUAGGAGGAACACCAGUGGCGAAGGCGGCUUGCUGGACGAUAACUGACGCUGAGGCGCGAAAGCGUGGGGAGCAAACA